rnacentral:rRNA from 1 species
UUUAUGGAGAGUUUGAUCCUGGCUCAGGAUGAACGCUGGCGGCGUGCCUAAUACAUGCAAGUCGAGCGAACGGACGAGAAGCUUGCUUCUCUGAUGUUAGCGGCGGACGGGUGAGUAACACGUGGAUAACCUACCUAUAAGACUGGGAUAACUUCGGGAAACCGGAGCUAAUACCGGAUAAUAUUUUGAACCGCAUGGUUCAAAAGUGAAAGACGGUCUUGCUGUCACUUAUAGAUGGAUCCGCGCUGCAUUAGCUAGUUGGUAAGGUAACGGCUUACCAAGGCAACGAUGCAUAGCCGACCUGAGAGGGUGAUCGGCCACACUGGAACUGAGACACGGUCCAGACUCCUACGGGAGGCAGCAGUAGGGAAUCUUCCGCAAUGGGCGAAAGCCUGACGGAGCAACGCCGCGUGAGUGAUGAAGGUCUUCGGAUCGUAAAACUCUGUUAUCAGGGAAGAACAUAUGUGUAAGUAACUGUGCACAUCUUGACGGUACCUAAUCAGAAAGCCACGGCUAACUACGUGCCAGCAGCCGCGGUAAUACGUAGGUGGCAAGCGUUAUCCGGAAUUAUUGGGCGUAAAGCGCGCGUAGGCGGUUUUUUAAGUCUGAUGUGAAAGCCCACGGCUCAACCGUGGAGGGUCAUUGGAAACUGGAAAACUUGAGUGCAGAAGAGGAAAGUGGAAUUCCAUGUGUAGCGGUGAAAUGCGCAGAGAUAUGGAGGAACACCAGUGGCGAAGGCGACUUUCUGGUCUGUAACUGACGCUGAUGUGCGAAAGCGUGGGGAUCAAACAGGAUUAGAUACCCUGGUAGUCCACGCCGUAAACGAUGAGUGCUAAGUGUUAGGGGGUUUCCGCCCCUUAGUGCUGCAGCUAACGCAUUAAGCACUCCGCCUGGGGAGUACGACCGCAAGGUUGAAACUCAAAGGAAUUGACGGGGACCCGCACAAGCGGUGGAGCAUGUGGUUUAAUUCGAAGCAACGCGAAGAACCUUACCAAAUCUUGACAUCCUUUGACAACUCUAGAGAUAGAGCCUUCCUCUUCGGGGGACAAAGUGACAGGUGGUGCAUGGUUGUCGUCAGCUCGUGUCGUGAGAUGUUGGGUUAAGUCCCGCAACGAGCGCAACCCUUAAGCUUAGUUGCCAUCAUUAAGUUGGGCACUCUAAGUUGACUGCCGGUGACAAACCGGAGGAAGGUGGGGAUGACGUCAAAUCAUCAUGCCCCUUAUGAUUUGGGCUACACACGUGCUACAAUGGACAAUGCAAAGGGCAGCGAAACCGCGAGGUCAAGCAAAUCCCAUAAAGUUGUUCUCAGUUCGGAUUGUAGUCUGCAACUCGACUACAUGAAGCUGGAAUCGCUAGUAAUCGUAGAUCAGCAUGCUACGGUGAAUACGUUCCCGGGUCUUGUACACACCGCCCGUCACACCACGAGAGUUUGUAACACCCGAAGCCGGUGGAGUAACCUUUUAGGAGCUAGCCGUCGAAGGUGGGACAAAUGAUUGGGGUGAAGUCGUAACAAGGUAGCCGUAUCGGAAGGUGCGGCUGGAUCACCUCCUUUCU